AUGGUAGUAGCAGUAACAGUAGUAGUAGUAGUAGUAGUAGUAGUAAUGGUAGUAGCAGUAACAGUAGUAGUAGUAAUGGUAGUAGCAGUAAGAGUAGUAGUAGUAGUAGUAACAGUAGUAGUAGUAGUAGUAAUGGUAGUAGCAGUAACAGUAGUAGUAGUAGUAGUAGUAGUAGUGGUGAGCAGUAGUAGUAACAGUGGUAGUAGUAGUGGUAGCAGUAAUAGUAGUGGUGGUAGCAGUAGUAAUGGUAGUAGCAGUAACAGUAGCAGUAGUAGUAGCAGUAGUAGUAGCAGCAGUAGUAGUAGUAGUAGUAGUAGUAGUAGUGGUAGUAGCAGUAGUAGUAGUGGUGGUAGCAGUAGUAAUGGUAGUAGCAGUAACAGUAGCAGUAGUAGUAACAGCAGUAGUAGUAAUGGUAGUAGUGGUAGUAGCAGUAGCAGUAGUAGUAGUGGUGGUAGCAGUAGUAGUAAUGGUAGUAGUGGUAGUAGCAGUAGUAGUAGUGGUGGUAGCAGUAGUAGUAGUAGUGGUAGUAGCAGUAGUAGUAGUGGUGGUAGCAGUAGUAAUGGUAGUAGCAGUAACAGUAGCAGUAGUAGUAACAGCAGUAGUAGUAAUGGUAGUAGUGGUAGUAGCAGUAGUAGUAGUGGUGGUGGUAGCAGUAGUAGUAAUGGUAGUAGUGGUAGUAGCAGUAGCAGUAGUAGUAGUAGUAGUAGUAGUAGUAGUAAUGGUAGUAGUGGUAGUAGCAGUAACAGUAGUAGUAGUAGUAACAGCAGUAGUAGUAGUAGUGGUGGUAGCAGUAGUAGUAGUAAUGGUAGUAGCAGUAGUAGUAGCAGUAGUAGUAGUAGUGGUAGUAGUGGUAGUAGCAGUAACAGUAGUGGUAGUAGCAGUAACAGUAGUAGUAGUAGUAGCAGUAGUGGUAGUAGUAGUAGUAGUGGUAGUAGCAGUAGUAGUAGUAGUGGUAGUAGUGGUAACAGUAGUGGUAGUAGCAGUAACAGUAGUAGUAGUAGUAGUAGUAGUAGUAGUAGUAGUAGUAGCAGUAACAGCAGUAGUAGUAAUGGUAGUAGUAGCAGUAACAGUAGUAGUAGUAGUAGUAGCAGUAACAGCAGUAGUAGUAAUGGUAGUAGUAGCAGUAACAGUAGUAGUAGUAAUGGUAGUAGUGGUAGUAGCAGUAACAGUAGUAGUAGUAGUAGCUGUUUCAGCUGA
rnacentral:lncRNA from 1 species